rnacentral:rRNA from 1 species
CAGUAGCCGCGGUAACACGGAGGGAGCUAGCGUUGUUCGGAAUUACUGGGCGUAAAGCGCGCGUAGGCGGUUACUCAAGUCAGAGGUGAAAGCCCGGGGCUCAACCCCGGAACUGCCUUUGAAACUAGGUGACUAGAAUCUUGGAGAGGUCAGUGGAAUUCCGAGUGUAGAGGUGAAAUUCGUAGAUAUUUGGAAGAACACCAGUGGCGAAGGCGACUGACUGGACAAGUAUUGACGCUGAGGUGCGAAAGCGUGGGGAGCAAACAGGAUUAGAGACCCCUGUAGUCCCUGUCUCUUAUAC